rnacentral:rRNA from 1 species
GCGUUACUGACGCUGAAGCUCGAAGGUGCGGGUAUCGAACAGGAUUAGAUACCCUGGUAGUCCGCACGGUAAACGAUGGAUGCCCGCUGUCCGCUAUUUAAGUGGGUGGCCAAGCGAAAGCGUUAAGCAUCCCACCUGGGGAGUACGCCGGCAACGGUGAAACUCAAAGGAAUUGACGGGGGCCCGCACAAGCGGAGGAACAUGUGGUUUAAUUCGAUGAUACGCGAGGAACCUUACCCGGGCUUGAAUUGCAGAGGAAUGCGGGAGAGAUCCUGCAGCCCUUCGGGGCCUCUGUGAAGGUGCUGCAUGGUUGUCGUCAGCUCGUGCCGUGAGGUGUCGGCUUAAGUGCCAUAACGAGCGCAACCCCUCUCCGUAGUUGCCAUCGGGUGAUGCCGGGCACUCUGCGGACACUGCCACCGCAAGGUGCGAGGAAGGUGGGGACGACGUCAAAUCAGCACGGCCCUUACGUCCGGGGCUACACACGUGUUACAAUGGGGCAUACAGAGAGCAUGGGCGCCGGCGACGUCGCCCGAAUCAUUAAAGUGCCCCUCAGUUCGGAUUGGGGUCUGCAACCCGACCCCAUGAAGCUGGAUUCGCUAG